rnacentral:lncRNA from 1 species
AGAAGUAACAUCAAGUUAUUCUUAUGCUCAGAGAAGGCUAAUAAAUUUGGGGCGAGGCCAAAAGGCGUUGGAAGCCAGUAGUUUGAAAGAAAAAUAGCUUUCCAAAGGCUUUCGCUUUGUAAAAACUAAAUGGUGCCUUUUGGAAUACAAUGUGAACAUAACUUUUCCAAGGAUUUAAGGUGUUGAUGAGAAAGACAUUCUGAGACCUGCCAGCAGAUGGAGCCAUAAAACAAGAAAUAGAUGUUUACAGCCUCAACUCGGGAGAAAAAUACCGUGAAUGCACCUUACACUAUAGAAGUAACACUUUUCCCUCUGCUUUAUUUUCUCUAUAUGCUAAACUCCUUACUUGCCUCUGCUAAAGAACAUCGCUGGAGUGUCUUGGUGUGUGAAGUAUGAAAUAGUUUCUAAAGACAUAAGUUGUGAUAUAGCAAGACAGAGGCAAAACCCCUCAUUCUUCUGAGAGUGUAAACAUCAUGUCGCAAGAAGCUCACCUAAAAUUUGAAAAGGAAAACUCAACGAAAAUUUGAAAAGAAAUUCAAGGAAAAAAAAAUGUGACCUUUAAAAUUUCCAUGUUGACAGCACCACCAGGACCCCUUCUGGGAUCCGUUGCUAGGGAACAGGAGGAUCGGCAUGGCGGAGCACGUUGGUCUGAGCACAUGUGAGGUGUUUAGAAAACUGCAAGUCAUCCAGCACGGGAGCAACGCCAGGCACAGGCAGGGGAGUCGUAGGGGAUGAUGCUGCAGAAGGGACAGACCGGGUUCUAGAAGUUGGCGAGCAAGGAAAUGUGAGCAUCUGGACUGCCGAAC